GGAUCCUUAGCUCAGUCGGUAGAGCUUAACCACCAUGUCCCAGGUUCGAUUCCUGGAGGGUCCG
rnacentral:tRNA from 1 species